GUGCUUGCUUCUAUAGCACAUAUACUAAAAUUGGAAUAAUACAGAGUAGAUUAGCAUGGCCCCUGUGCAAGGAUGACAUGCAAAUUAGUGAAGUGUACCACAUCUUC